UAAAAAACGUUCAUUGAUUUUGACGAAAAAUUUCAUCGAUUUACAAUCGCGCAAUUGAGAAAAAGAAAAAAGAACAGAAAAAGAAAAAGAGAUGCGGACUAGGGAAAGAACAAAAAGGACAGAAGUAGUUUCUUUCCAUAAGUUAGCGAUGGCCCUAGUGGUCUAGAGUAUGAUUCCUGGGCGCGCGCACCAUUUUUAUACUCCCUUGGUAUUUUAGAGUAUAGAUUCACUCCCUUAAUAUUUUAGAGUAUAGAUUCACUCAUUUUGCUCCGUAUGUGGUUCAUAGUGAAAUCUCUUUAAAGACUUAUAUUUAAGAACGGAGGGAGUACUUUAGAACGAAGUCCCAAAUAGGAAAGCAAUAGCCUCCCUCGUUAUGCUCAUCGAUUAGACUAUCUGGAAGGGGAAUGCCCGCGUCUUCUGGACACAAGUCUACUCCUCCGCCGGUUCUCCUCACAAUACAACCCUUUAACGGUCACGGUAUGGGCGCCUCCUCACGGUGUCCACGUCGACAGGAAAGGACAAACGGGAGCAGAAAAAAAAGUAAACAAUGCAACGGAUCAACACACCAUCGUUUCCUUCCCUGCGAAGGCAACUCCCCUGUCAAAUCGCCUUCUCCUCCCUCCUUCCCUCAUCCCUGCGCCGCCACCUCCGCCACUUCUCCUCUCCCCUAGCCAAGCUCGAGCCCUCCGCCGUCCCCUCCUCCUUGAGCACCUCUCCCUUCCUCUAAAGAAGGAACACGGGCCCGCCGCUACACCUGAGCCGCCAGAAGGUCGUCGGGUGGAGGUGUCCCAGGUCUUGAAGCCUCCGGAGUCGUUGUCGCUGUAUGGAGAUGGGUCGGCAGAGGAUGACGGUGUUGGGGUCAGGAGGGCAAAGGCGCCGCCGACGCUGAUGUGGAGGUUGAGGCCUCUCCCGCCGUUGUCUCCUUUUCGAGGCUGUCCGACUUGGCCGACGGCCUCGACUAGGUGCUCAUGGCUGCUGGCGCACUCGCUACCGCCGCCCACGGCGCAUCACUCGUCAUCGGCCUGCACUAUUUCAGGAGGUCCUUCAAUUUGGUCGACACUGAACUGGUUCAGUGUGUUCUCCACAGCCUGCUCCUCGACUAAUUUAUGCAGGUAAACCGAUGCUUCACAUGCUCUUCUCUUAAUCAUGAUAUUUAUUGCCUGAGACACCCCAAGGUCAAUUCAGCAACAAAUGUCUUUAGGUUCCAGUUUAUUCCUACAAAUUGAAGUGGUAAAGACCGUUUCCUGCGCGCGUGUUCCACUACUGUCCUAUAUAUACAGCGAGCAGGGAAACCACCGAAUCAUACAGAGCAAAGCACACAAUAGUACAAGACCGGCAGGCGGCAGCAACAAGGCCUCCACAUACAAGCUCUCUUGUUGCAAUCUCUCUUGAUUAUUCUGGCCCAUCAUCAAACUUGAUUAGCGACAGAGAAACAACUUGUCAGAUACAAGAUCAACAUAUGGUUGCCAAUGUAUGUUUGUCUAACUUUUUCCAGGGUGUUCUUCUCUAUGGGGAAGCCAUUAUUAUCAAGGGCUAUGGCCAGUAACAUUCAUGCUAACUUUUUGGGUUUUCACUUGAUUGACGGUACUUCGUAUUUUCAUUCUGUCAGUAUUACAUUACACUGACGUGUUGUCUAAAAAUCAGAUUGUGUCAAGUCCUAUAAUUGACAAAUACAUCGGAGAAAUUGCUCAUUUAAUCAGAGAAAUGUUUGGCUAUGCACGUGAUCACCAAGUAAGUUUUGCCCCGGCUCUUUUUUUUGCAAAGCUAAUUGGUCUUAAACUUAAUUCCCUUAUUAUUUGUUAGAAACGCAUGUCGGCAGAUAGUUAUGCAUCCCCUGACGCUGAGAUGCAAGCUGCGACUUGAUAGUUCCCGUGACUCAGAUAUCAUGUCAUCGAACUGUAUUCCGGUUCAACGCUAUAAAAUUUUAAGCUUUAGAUCUCAGUAUCAGUUUUUCCUGAGAAAAAGAAAUCAAACUGAUCUCAAUAUAAGUAGAAGUGCAUUUCUGAGAUCUUUUAGCUUAUAUCACCAUUUAGUUUAUUUACCCUGCUCAUAGAUUUUGUUUCAUUUUCAUCAAAUUUUUAUUUCUAGCGAUGCAUUAUCUUCAUGGAUGAAAUCGAUGCAAUUGGUGAGAGAAGAUUUAGUGAGGGAACCUGUGACGUCCGUGAGAUCCAGCGGACACUCAUGGAGCUUCUUAAUCAUUUAGAUGGAUUUGAUGAGCUUGGCAAGGUAAACUAUCAUCAUCAAGUUUUUUCUCUCUAGAGGCCUUUAUGCCAUAUAUGCAAAGGAAUGGAUUCAAUCGAAGUAAUUUGCUUGCCUGUAUGUGUGUGUGUGCGCGCGCGCGUGUGCGUGUGUGCGUGUGUGCGUGUGUGUGUGUGUGUGUGUGUGUGUGUGUGUGAUAUGCACUCCAGCUUUCCUGGCUUUCGUGGAAAGUAUAUGUGUUUAUACAUGAAUUUUGUAGAUUAAAUUUGUUGCUCAUCUUUGCUUCAUUGCUUCUAUGAAUUUUCUAGAUGUGGAUUCACGUAACAUUUUAUUUAACUCCUUUUUGUAACAUUACACAUUUUUGCUCUCGGGGGAAAGUAUAGGUGUUUCGACAUGAAUUUUGUGCAUAAUUUUUUUUUCAUCUUUGCUUGAUUGCUUCUAUGGAUUUUUUGGAUGCGGAUUCGAGUAACAUUUUAUUUAACUUGCUUUUUUAACACUACACAUUUUUAGAAGGAAAAAAAUUGAGGACUGUAGGUUUUGUUUUGUCUGAUUGUUGACAUGCCAACGGAAUUGCCUCAUUGUUUGAUAGACUUGAAUACUUAUGAUUUCUUUCUUACUGGGCUUGUUUUAUUUUAUUUUGGGAAAAACCCAUGACUUUAUCCUAACCCGAUACAUCGUGAUCACUAAUGCCGAGAAGGGUUCAUCGUCCCAAUCAAGGUGAGUAAAAUUAACCGCCUCUUUUGGUGCUGAUGCAACUAGGAAUGGUGUUACUUGUGGCUUGAGUGGCUUCAGUUCAGUGGGUAACACAACUUAUUUGCACUUCCUGGAAAUAUAAUUAUCAUUUGUUAUUUUGCUAUGUAUUAGCUGUGACUUGACUGAUUCGAGGUCAGGAACAUGAUUAGCCUGAUGUAUUAUGCAUGACCAUUGGAAGACAUUGUUUUCCAUGAUAUAAUUAGUGUGAUGGUGCAGUUACCCCAAUUGAUCGGAUGCCACAAUGCCCUCUAUCUUUUUGAGUGCUUUUGGUUGAUUUCUUCAAGCAGUGCAAGCUAGAGUGUGAGCUUUGCCUAUGCCCUUAGUAGCUUACAAAAGUUCACCUUACUUCACUUUCCUGUUACUAUAUUGGCAUCUAUUCAUGAAGCAUGGUCAUUUCCUUAUAAGUAUAAAUUUUUGCAAUCAGCACAUGAGUCAUCCAAUUUGUUUUACAACCCGAGGUUCACAUUAGUUGUUUCUCUUCAUGACUCAGCUUUAUUGGUGUCACUCUCAGCUCGAUGGUCAUGAAUCAAAUGUGACUUCCUAUCUAAUUACAUUUAACUUCAACAAUUGCUUGUUUUAACCAUUGCUCAUUAUUCAGAUUGUCUUUGAUGGGUGAGUUUUGGCUACGUACACAACAUCGCACUCAGAAUUUGAGCGGCGCUAAUAGAACUGUUGAGUGCUCGAUCUGAUUCUUUAAAGAAUCAAAGCAUUCAAAUUCUUGUUUUAAUGCUUUAGAAUAUGAAUACCUUUAAAAAAAUUAUCAUGCAUUUGUAAUUUUGUAACUCAUGUUGAUCAGUAAUUCUUGUAGUUGUGUAAAUUUUGCACAAUCAUAAGUCCUUUAGAAUGCUAAAACCUGACACCUAUGCUUCAAUAGUUUCCUGAACUGAACUUCUGUAAAAUACAUAAACCAAAGAGUACUCUUAGAUAUUUAGUUUAGGUUAAAUUUGCGCAGAGUGAUUAAGAAUAUUGGCUUGCAAUAAUAAUCAAAAUGGACCAGUUUGGCGUGCAGUAAUAAUCAUAACGGUAAAUGGUAUGUUCUUUUAUUGCUACUCUCACUUUCCAUGUGCAUGCUAGGUAUGUUUCCUUUCACUAGGCAAUUGUACUUUGUUCUGGGUUGCAUCAACUUGCAUCAGUCGCUGCUCCUCGGUGUGUGCAAGGGGAAGUGCAGAAGUAGUGGGGAGUGUAGCUGACUAAAAUCCAUGUAGCAUUUGUGUUGGGUACAUCAAGAUGAACAUCAUGCUGAUUCUGAUGUGAAAAUGGAUGACGCCAGGCCUAUAGAGUACUCAUAAAGAUGUUCUGUUUUAUUUGGUUCCUUAGUCAUGGCCUCAUGAAGUCCCUUUCUUCAGCCAAACUGAAGCACUUGGUGUUGGCCUGUCUUUGCUUUUGGAUUAACUGUAAUAUAUCCUCAUUAGAUGUAUCACUACUUGUGAUGGUUCUGAACUCAAAUAGUACAGUAUAUGUACUUUGAUUGAUGUGCUACCAAUAGAUCCUAAUGAACUCAAAUAAGUGAAAUUGAUGGCCAAACUUGACAACUAAAAGUGUCCAGACAAGAUAAGUGCGCACAUGCCCGCUCAGGUGGCGCCCCAGCCUCUAGUGAUCAAGAAUGAUGCCUUGGUUUGGAUGACCGUCGGUGCCAAGAACCCAGGAAAGCUAAUUUUGGAUGACCGUCGGUGCCAAGUACGAACUGAAGCCAUAAUAUAUCAUCAGACUGAAACUGACACUAUCUCCACCCGCAAACCUGUGCUAAUUAAUUCUCCAUCCAUAGAAUUCGACAGCAUCUCUUUCUUUACAUUCACAACUGCAAAGAAAGAUCACACAUCCAUCCACAACUACCUGCAUGCAACACCAUGCCACCAUACCAACAACAUGCAUGGUUCACCCAUAUCAUCUCCAAGCCUAGUAGUAGUAGUAGUAGAUCCAAGGUCGGGUUGGUUCGACGCCAACACAAAAGACAACAUGCAGUACGUUCCAUGGUUUCCAGCGACAUCAAAGGACCGACUAACACACGACAGGUAGAGUAGUUCCAGGUGCUACUUAUUUAGAUCGAUAGAUAUAGAUAGACACAGGCACAUAGCGAAGACACAGUUCACCACUACCCCCAGCAGCAAGCGGAUCAGCAGAAGAACAUGGAGGUCCUCACAUUCUUGUGCAGUUCCGGCACCGGGAUGCUGCCCGCCGACGUGUGCCCCCCUCCCUGGCUCGACGACGCGGCCGACAUGUCUUCAAACUUCACGAAUGCGCCUACCUGUGCAGCCGCCAGAUGCGCGUACAUGAUCGGAGCAACUGCAAGCCAUCCCAAGCAAAAACACAACAAAACAUAAGGAACAAUGCUCAUUAUUUGCCAAGCAAAGACAAUGAGGAACAAUGCUCAUUAUUUGCCAAGCAAAGACAAUGAGUCGCACAUACCGACUGAUAUCGCUGUUGUGCUCCUCUGGUACCUGAAAAGGUCACAGCAACAGGGUUCAGGCAUAGCUUGGCAACAGUUUUCUUUUAUCAAGAAUGGUACAAAUUUCUCAAGCUGUAACCCUAGACUGCCUGUCUACGUACACGUAUGAAAGUGAAUGCACAAAUUCCUGAAGCUCAUCCGCGGAGAAGCCGAUCUCAUCAUGCAGAACAUGGUAAUGUGUUGGCCUCGACGUGCCCUAGCACACACAGCAAACACAAACUUAAAUACGACCAUCACCGGGCAUACUGGUACGUGGUGGUAGUAACAAAAAAACAGAGCAGAAAGCAGAGAUUACUUACGAUCAUCCCAGCAUGUGCGCACAUGUAGAAGUCGAAAUUCUUGGGAUGGCAGACCUCUUUAUCCACGACGGUCCCUACAGAAUGAUGACAUGAACGCUUGCUUUUACUAUCAUUUCAAAGGAAAUUGCAAGUUUAUGUGAUAGGCGAUGUUUCGCUCUAGAAAAAUAGUAGGAAAUAAAGUUUACCAGGAGGAACAUUAUUUGGGGAUUCAGUCCGGAACUUGCAGGCCUGCAUUGAUUAAAAGUAAAUGAAAUAACACUGUCCAAUGCGGGGUAAUUACUUGUACAUCACACAAAUACACUACCUCGAUGAUCUGCUCCAGCUCAAUGUUGAUGACCUGAGUAAACUGGCUUUCGCUAACUCCAUCCCUAGAAUUAGCACAAGUUAUACAAGUUGGUGGUUAAGACAUCAUCAACUAUCCAUUUUUCAGUACUCCCUCCUUCCAUCUAUAUAGGGCCUAAUGCGUUUUUCAAGCAAUAAUAUAUGACAUGCAACUUACACAAAGCACACCCUCUUACAGAAAUGUAAGGAAAGGCUGCGUACUAUAGACCCAAAGUGGUCGGACCCUUCCCUGGACCCUGCGCAAGCGGGAGCUACAUGCACCAGGUUGCUUUCAACUUACACAAAGCACACCGUUAAAUUCAUGUGUGAAAGGAGCU
rnacentral:lncRNA from 1 species